GAUGAUCAAACAUCAGAGUCAGAGAGGCUUCGUUUCAACAUCAUAUUGAUCAGAGAAAACCAGAGCCGCUUUACAGACACUGAGGGGUCACUACAAGACCAGGACCUGGACUCAAACCUCCAACACAAAGACAAAACCUCAGCUCCACUGACUGCUGCACUUUUUCACAAGUCCAAGGUAAUUUUUUUUAACCCUUAAAUAAUUAGCCAUUAAGUCUGAUCUGACCUCCACGUUCAAAGUGGUUUCCUUCUCUUCUGGAGGUGGACUUUGGACUCUCGACUGAUCUGCAUCCUGAUGUGGUUACUUCAGCAAACUGAAGACCUGUUCAGGAGGAGAACUUUACAAGAACUUAGUGUUAGUUCUGAAAAAACAUGGUUCUCAGGUUGUAUGAUUGUCAUCAGGAUUGUCCUCUCUCCUCUCUCCUCCUCCAGGUUAAUUCAGGUGUUUGGCCCUCUGAUCAAUGGCGUCAUGGUAAUUAUAUUAUCUUCAGUUAAUUUGAUUGCAGUGUGUGAAGGAGAGGAUCACUCCUGCUGGCUCAGCGCUCCUCCAUCCGACCUCAGCUCCUUCUGCUCCUCCUCAUUUACUGAUGAAAAGUGAUCAACCGAAUCAGGAGCUCCAUGAUGGGGAAUCCUCUCAGCCAAUUUCAGGCCUCCUGAUUGCUGGAGGAGUGAUAGAGGAGGAGGAGUGAGGAAAAGGAGG